AGUAAUACAUCGGAACGUGUCUUCUAGUGGGGGAUAACUGCCCGAAAGGGCAGCUAAUACCGCAUGAGACCUGAGGGUGAAAGCGGGGGAUCGCAAGACCUCGCGCUGGAAGAGCGGCAGAUGCCCGAUUAGCUAGUUGGUGAGGUAAAGGCUCACCAAGGCGACGAUCGGUAGCUGGUCUGAGAGGACGACCAGCCACACUGGGACUGAGACACGGCCCAG
rnacentral:rRNA from 1 species